rnacentral:rRNA from 1 species
AGAGGGACUUUGUGUGCCAGCACAAGGAAGUUUGCGGCAAUAACAGGCCUGUGAUGCCCUUAGAUGUCCUGGCCCGCACGCGCGCUACAYUGACAUAUGCAMCAAGCUUUACUUUCCUGUCUCGGAAGAGUACGGGUAAUCUUGUAUAAUGUAUGUCGUGCUAGGGAUAGAUCUUUGGAAUUAUAGAUCUUGAACGAGGAAUUCCUAGUAAGCAUAAGUCAUCAGCUUGUGCUGAUUACGUCCCUGCC